UGGGGAAUUUUGGACAAUGGGCGAAAGCCUGAUCCAGCAAUGCCGCGUGUGUGAAGAAGGCCUUCGGGUUGUAAAGCACUUUUGUCCGGAAAGAAAUCCUUGGCUCUAAUACAGUCGGGGGAUGACGGUACCGGAAGAAUAAGCACCGGCUAACUACGUGCCAGCAGCCGCGGUAAUACGUAGGGUGCAAGCGUUAAUCGGAAUUACUGGGCGUAAAGCGUGCGCAGGCGGUUUGCUAAGACCGAUGUGAAAUCCCCGGGCUCAACCUGGGAACUGCAUUGGUGACUGGCAGGCUAGAGUAUGGCAGAGGGGGGUAGAAUUCCACGUGUAGCAGUGAAAUGCGUAGAGAUGUGGAGGAAUACCGAUGGCGAAGGCAGCCCCCUGGGCCAAUACUGACGCUCAUGCACGAAAGCGUGGGGAGCAAACAGGAUUAGAUACCCUGGUAGUCCACGCCCUAAACGGUGUCAACUAGUUGUUGGGGAUUCAUUUCCUUAGUAACGUAGCUAACGCGUGAAGUUGACCGCCUGGGGAGUACGGUCGCAAGAUUAAAACUCAAAUGAAUUGAC
rnacentral:rRNA from 1 species